GGGGAAGAUAUAAAGUGGGCGCACGGGUGAGUAACACGUAAGUAAUCUACCUUCGAGUGGGGAAUAACGUCCGGAAACGGACGCUAAUACCGCAUAAUGCAGCGGCACCUAAUGGUGACAGUUGUUAAAGGAGCAAUUCGCUUGAAGAGGAGCUUGCGGCAGAUUAGCUAGUUGGUAAGGUAACGGCUUACCAAGGCUACGAUCUGUAACCGGUCUAAGAGGACGGUCGGUCACACUGACACUGAAUAACGGGUCAGACUCCUACGGGAGGCAGCAGUCGGGAAUUUUGGGCAAUGGGCGAAAGCCUGACCCAGCAACGCCGCGUGAAGGAUGAAGUAUUUCGGUAUGUAAACUUCGAAAGAAUGGGAAGAAUCAAUGACGGUACCAUUUAUAAGGUCCGGCUAACUACGUGCCAGCAGCCGCGGUAAUACGUAGGGACCAAGCGUUGUUCGGAUUUACUGGGCGUAAAGGGCGCGUAGGCGGCAAUUCAAGUCAUCUGUGAAAUCUCUGGGCUUAACCCAGAACGGCCAGGUGAUACUGCUUUGCUAGAGUGCGGAAGGGGCAAUCGGAAUUCUUGGUGUAGCGGUGAAAUGCGUAGAUAUCAAGAGGAACACCUGAGGUGAAGACGGGUUGCUGGGCCGACACUGACGCUGACAGCGCGAAAGCCAGGGGAGCAAACGGGAUUAGAUACCCCGGUAGUCCUGGCCCUAAACGAUGAAUACUUGGUGUCUGGAGUUAUUAGUGCUCCGGGUGCCGUCGCUAACGUUUUUAG
rnacentral:rRNA from 1 species